GUGACGGCCUGCCGUGGCAGGGACUCAGAGGGCCAUAGAGACGACGGUGGGUAUGGGGCCUCCGGCGGGCGCCCCUCGCGGGGCCCGGGGGCUCCCCCUGGAGCCGCCCGCCGAGGCAACGACGUGGUAGGUUCGCGGUGGUGUGGAGUCGUGGACUCGGCAAUGAUCCCUCCGCUGGUUCACCAACGGAGA
rnacentral:misc_RNA from 1 species